UACGUAGGGGGCAAGCGUUGUCCGGAUUUAUUGGGCGUAAAGAGCGUGUAGGCGGCCAGACAGGUCCGUUGUGAAAACUCGAGGCUCAACCUCGAGAUGUCGAUGGAAACCGUCUGGCUAGAGUCCGGAAGAGGAGUGUGGAAUUCCUGGUGUAGCGGCGAAAUGCGCAGAUAUCAGGAGGAACACCGGUGGCGAAGGCGGAUCUCUGGGCCGAUACUGACGCUGAGGAGCGAAAGCGUGGGGAGCGAACAGG
rnacentral:rRNA from 1 species